GAUGAAGAACGUAGCGAAAUGCGAUAAGUAGUGUGAAUUGCAGAAUUCAGUGAAUCAUCGAAUCUUUGAACGCACAUUGCGCCCCUUGGUAUUCCAUGGGGCAUGCCUGUUCGAGCGUCAUUUGUACCUUCAAGCUUUGCUUGGUGUUGGGUGUUUGUCUCGCCUUUGCGUGUAGACUCGCCUUAAAAUAAUUGGCAGCCGGUGUAUUGAUUUCGGAGCGCAGUACAUCUCGCGCUUUGCACUCAUAACGACAGCGUCCAAAAGUACAUUUUACACUCUUGACCUCGGAUCAGGUAGGGAUACCCGCUGAACUUAAGCAUAUCAAUAAGCGGAGGA
rnacentral:misc_RNA from 1 species